rnacentral:rRNA from 1 species
AUUGAACGCUGGUGGCAUGCUUUACACAUGCAAGUCGAACGGUAACAGGCCGCAAGGUGCUGACGAGUGGCGAACGGGUGAGUAAUGCAUCGGAACGUGCCCAGUCGUGGGGGAUAACUACUCGAAAGAGUAGCUAAUACCGCAUACGAUCUAUGGAUGAAAGCGGGGGACCGUAAGGCCUCGCGCGAUUGGAGCGGCCGAUGUCAGAUUAGGUAGUUGGUGGGGUAAAGGCUCACCAAGCCAACGAUCUGUAGCUGGUCUGAGAGGACAACCAGCCACACUGGGACUGAGACACGGCCCAGACUCCUACGGGAGGCAGCAGUGGGGAAUUUUGGACAAUGGGCGCAAGCCUGAUCCAGCAAUGCCGCGUGCAGGAAGAAGGCCUUCGGGUUGUAAACUGCUUUUGUACGGAACGAAACGGCUCUGGUUAAUACCCGGGGCUAAUGACGGUACCGUAAGAAUAAGCACCGGCUAACUACGUG